rnacentral:rRNA from 1 species
GUGUCAGCCGCCGCGGUAAUACAGAGGGGGCAAGCGUUAUUCGGAAUUAUUGGGCGUAAAGGGCGCGUAGGCGGCUUGGCAAGUGAAAGGUGAAAUCCCUCGGCUCAACUGAGGAACUGCCUUUCAGACUGCUUUGCUUGAGGCCGGGAGAGGCGAGUGGAAUUCCCAGUGUAGCGGUGAAAUGCGUAGAUAUUGGGAGGAACACCAGUGGCGAAGGCGGCUCGCUGGACCGGUUCUGACGCUGAGGCGCGAAAGCGUGGGGAGCAAACGGGAUUAGAUACCCGAGUAGUCC